rnacentral:rRNA from 1 species
UACAGAGGUGGCAAGCGUUGUUCGGAAUUACUGGGCGUAAAGGGCGCGUAGGUGGCCUUCUUAGUCAGACGUGAAAUCCCCAGGCUCAACCUGGGAACUGCGUCUGAUACUGGAUGGCUUGAAUCCGGGAGAGGGAUGCAGAAUUCCAGGUGUAGCGGUGAAAUGCGUAGAUAUCUGGAGGAAUACCGGUGGCGAAGGCGGCAUCCUGGACCGGCAUUGACGCUGAGGAGCGAAAGCCAGGGGAGCAAACGGG